rnacentral:rRNA from 1 species
AUGUCCUUGUUUAGACACUUUCAUCGAGGGGCGUUGGAUGUUCAAAGAUUGAACUACGGGAUCAUCACUUUGCUCCCGAAGCUCUCUGGAGCUGACAAAAUCCAACAGUUCAGACCUAUUUGUCUGCUUCGUUGCCCUUAUAAUCUCAUCACAAAAGUCCUAGAUCGCCGAGUCUCGGUUUAUGCUGACAAGCUAAUUAGCCCAGUACAGAAUGCUUUUGUCAAAGGUAGAAACAUUAUGGACAGGGUGCUUUCACUCCAUGAAAUCCUUAAUUACACUCGUGUGAAGAAAAAGGUUGGGGUGGUGUUGAAACUGGAUUUUGAAAAAGCGUAUGAUAAGGUUAACUGGGAGUUCCUAUUUGAAUGCCACAAGUUGCGGGGAUUCAAUGAUACCUGGUGUGGAUGGAUUAAUCAGAUCCUUCGAAAUGGCACGAUUAGCAUCAAGUUAAAUAACAGUGUGGGGCCGUACUUCCAAAGUGCGAAAGGGGUGCGGCAAGGCGACCCUCACUCCCCAUUCUUGUUUAACUUAGCUGCCGAAUGCCUCACGAAGAUGAUUAAAAAUGCUCUGCGUAAUAAGUUGCUGGUUGGCUUAGCUGCGGAUCUGAUCCCUGAUGGAGUUGCGGUACUUCAGUACGAAGAUGACACAAUUAUCUGCCUUGAACAUGACAUCGAUAAAGCAGUCAACCUGAAGUUGCUGCUGUAUAUGUUCGAAAUGAUGUCCGGGUUGAAAGUUAAUUUUCAAAAAGUGAAAUUCUGA